ACAGUGGACGCGAGCAUCUGUGGCCAAGUUUUUAAGGGCGCACGGUGGAUGCCUUGGCACCAGGAACCGAUGAAGGACGUGGGAGGCCACGAUAGUCCCCGGGGAGUCGUCAACCAGGCUUUGAUCCGGGGGUUUCCGAAUGGGGAAACCCGGCAGUCGUCAUGGGCUGUCACCCGCUGCUGAACUCAUAGGCAGUGUGGAGGGAACGCGGGGAAGUGAAACAUCUCAGUACCCGCAGGAAGAGAAAACAACCGUGAUUCCGGGAGUAGUGGCGAGCGAAACUGGAUGAGGCCAAACCGUAUGUGUGUGAUACCCGGCAGGGGUUGCGCAUGCGGGGUUGUGGGAUCUCUCUUCCACGGUCUGCCGGCCGUGGGACGAGUCAGAAACCGUUGAUGUAGGCGAAGGACAUGCGAAAGGUCCGGCGUAGAGGGUAAGACCCCCGUAGUCGAAACAUCAGCGGCUCGUUUGAGAGACACCCAAGUAGCACGGGGCCCGAGAAAUCCCGUGUGAAUCUGGCGGGACCACCCGCUAAGCCUAAAUAUUCCCUGGUGACCGAUAGCGGAUAGUACCGUGAGGGAAUGGUGAAAAGUACCGCGGGAGCGGAGUGAAAUAGUACCUGAAACCGUGUGCCUACAAGCCGUGGGAGCGUCGCGCAUCGAGCUUGCUCGGUGCGUCGUGACUGCGUGCCUUUUGAAGAAUGAGCCUGCGAGUUAGCGGUGUGUAGCGAGGUUAACCCGUGUGGGGAAGCCGUAGCGAAAGCGAGUCCGAACAGGGCGUUUGAGUUGCACGCUCUAGACCCGAAGCGGAGUGAUCUAGCCAUGGGCAGGUUGAAGCGGCUGUAAGAGGUCGUGGAGGACCGAACCCACCAGGGUUGAAAACCUGGGGGAUGACCUGUGGUUAGGGGUGAAAGGCCAAUCAAACUCCGUGAUAGCUGGUUCUCCCCGAAAUGCAUUUAGGUGCAGCGUCGUGUGUUUCUUGCCGGAGGUAGAGCACUGGAUAGGCGAUGGGCCCUACCGGGUUACUGACCUUAGCCAAACUCCGAAUGCCGGUAAGUGAGAGCGCGGCAGUGAGACUGUGGGGGAUAAGCUCCAUGGUCGAGAGGGAAACAGCCCAGAGCAUCGACUAAGGCCCCUAAGCGUACGCUAAGUGGGAAAGGAUGUGGAGUCGCAGAGACAACCAGGAGGUUGGCUUAGAAGCAGCCACCCUUGAAAGAGUGCGUAAUAGCUCACUGGUCUAGUGAUUCCGCGCCGACAAUGUAGCGGGGCUCAAGCGUACCGCCGAAGUCGUGUCAUUGCAGCA
rnacentral:rRNA from 1 species